ACGAACGCUGGCGGCGUGCCUAACACAUGCAAGUCGAACGGAGGUAGCAAUACCUCAGUGGCGAACGGGUGCGUAACACGUGAAGAACUUGUCCUUCGGCGGGGGAUAGCCGGCCCAACGGCUGGGUAAUACCGCGUACGCCGGCGAGAUCGCAUGGUCUUGCCGGGAAAGCAGCAAUGCACCGAUGGAGAGCUUCGCGGCCUAUCAGCUUGUUGGCGGGGUAAUGGCCCACCAAGGUGACGACGGGUAGCUGGUCUGAGAGGAUGAUCAGCCACAUUGGGACUGAGACACGGCCCAGACUCCUACGGGAGGCAGCAGUGGGGAAUAUUGCGCAAUGGGCGAAAGCCUGACGCAGCGACGCCGCGUGUGGGAUGACGGCCUUCGGGUUGUAAACCACUGUCGCGAGGGACGAAACAAAUGACGGUACCUCGAAAGGAAGCACCGGCUAACUCUGU
rnacentral:rRNA from 1 species